rnacentral:ncRNA from 1 species
CAUUGUGAAAUGAAAUAUUGAAGGAAGCCGACAGCAAACAUCCGAUCUGACGAACGCAAACUACAUAUAAAUCUGCGAUCUUUGCUUUGUGUAUGUAUCAGAUAUGAAAAAUACAAAACCAACACCCAAUUUCACAUUUUCGGAUGUAAAAUUGGGUGUCGAUUUUAUAAAAGAUU